CUUCGAUUUUUUUUUGUUUUUUUCAUUUUAUUCCUUUUUAAAUUUGCUUUCGAUUAAGUCAUGUCUCAUGAUGGUAAUCGACCUGGAACAGGUCCAACAUAAGGCCCAAAGGCAAAAAUCCACCUUUUUACCGUUAUAUCUCAAUCCUCAAGACGGUUGGGCCUGUUCCAGGUCGAUUACCAUCAUGAGAACAGGUCCAACAUAAGGCCCAAAGGCAAAAAUCCACCUUUUUACCGUUAUAUCUCAAUCCUCAAGACGGUUGGGCCUGUUCCAGGUCGAUUACCAUCAUGAGAACAGGUCCAACAUAAGGCCCAAAGGCAAAAAUCCACCUUUUUACCGUUAUAUCUCAAUCCUCAAGACGGUUGGGCCUGUUCCAGGUCGAUUACCAUCAUGAGAACAGGUCCAACAUAAGGCCCAAAGGCAAAAAUCCACCUUUUUACCGUUAUAUCUCAAUCCUCAAGACGGUUGGGCCUGUUCCAGGUCGAUUACCAUCAUGAGAACAGGUCCAACAUAAGGCCCAAAGGCAAAAAUCCACCUUUUUACCGUUAUAUCUCAACCCUCAAGACGGUUGGGCCUGUUCCAGGUCGAUUACCAUCAUGAGACAUGACUUAAUCGAAAGCAAAUUUAAAAAGGAAUAAAAUAAAAAAA